ensembl:snRNA
AUGUUGCAUGAAAGGAGAGAAGGUUAACGAUCCCCUUUAUAAGGAUGGAAGAGACCCUUGGGCCUGACACAACAUGCAUAGGGUUAAGGCACUGGCACCUACUUCGUGGUAUCUAACUAUCAUUUUUA